AGCAGCCGCGGUAAUUCCAGCUCCAAUAGCGUAUAUUAAAGUUGUUGCAGUUAAAAAGCUCGUAGUUGAAUUUCGGGACCAAUAUGUCGGUCGUGCCUCGGUACGUACUGGUGUCAUUGGUUUCUCCCUUCUGAGGAUCCUUGAUGUCAUUAAUUUGGUGUCUUGGGGAAUCAGGACUGUUACCUUGAAAAAAUUAGAGUGUUUAAAGCAGGCAUACGCUUGAAUACAUUAGCAUGGAAUAAUGAAAUAGGACGUUUGAUUCUAUUUUGUUGGUUUCUAGGAUUGACGUAAUGAUUAAUAGGGAUAGUUGGGGGCAUUAGUAUUCAAUUGUCAGAGGUGAAAUUCUUGGAUUUAUUGAAGACUAACUACUGCGAAAGCAUUUGCCAAGGAUGUUUUCAUUAAUCAAGAACGAAAGUUAGGGGAUCGAAGACGAUCAGAUACCGUCGUAGUCUUAACCAUAAACUAUGCCGACUAGGGAUCGGAUGAUGUUAAUUUUUUAAUGACUCAUUCGGCGCCUUACG
rnacentral:rRNA from 1 species